rnacentral:rRNA from 2 species
UUAAAUUGAAGAGUUUGAUCAUGGCUCAGAUUGAACGCUGGCGGCAGGCCUAACACAUGCAAGUCGAACGGUAACAGGAAGCAGCUUGCUGCUUUGCUGACGAGUGGCGGACGGGUGAGUAAUGUCUGGGAAACUGCCUGAUGGAGGGGGAUAACUACUGGAAACGGUGGCUAAUACCGCAUAACGUCGCAAGACCAAAGAGGGGGACCUUCGGGCCUCUUGCCAUCAGAUGUGCCCAGAUGGGAUUAGCUGGUUGGUGAGGUAACGGCUCACCAAGGCGACGAUCCCUAGCUGGUCUGAGAGGAUGACCAGCCACACUGGAACUGAGACACGGUCCAGACUCCUACGGGAG